UGGGCUUGGAAAAUGUAAAGGAAGUGGAACAAACCCGAACAAAACUUGGAGGAAGUGGAACAUCUCUCCAGGCACCUUGGUUUGGAAGGUGGUGUCUGCUUAAGGAAGGCAGGAGCCUGCCCUGAAAUGGAAAAUCAGUUGAUUUCUUUAUCCCCAUGUGUUUUUAAGGCCAUAUUCCCAAGCAUGGGCUUGGAAAAUUUAAAGGAAGUGGAACAAACCAAACGAAAAAGUGGAACAUCUCUGCAGCCACUGCUCAAGACAAUUGUCUUGGUUUGGAAGGAGGUGUCUGCUUAAGGAAGGCAGGAGCUGCUGGGUUAUUUUGGCAGCUCAGCUGUGGCACAGGGGCCCUUCCUUUGAGCUGGCAGCAGCAGAAUGGUAAAAUUUGGUUUUCCCUCCAUGCAGCUGCUGCCCCCUGAGCUCUUCCCUCAGAGCAGGGCUCAGGCUGAGCUGGCUGAACUCUGCAGGAACCAUUGCAAACACCAGCAUGAGCUGUGCCUCAGCCACAGGAGCCAGGAACAGGCUGGGAUUUGGGGUGCAAACCCAGCAUUUAUUGCCCCAAAUCAAUCCCAAAUUCCUGCUCUCCUUGCAGGGUCCUGAAGGAUUACUCCGUGCAGCACCUCCCUGACGGCUCCAUCACUGUGGAGUCCAUCCUGAUCCAGGCCACAGCUCACUCCGAGGACCAAGGAACCAAAGUCCUGCUCGUCUCCUGGACCUACCAGGAUGAAGAGCUGGGCAGUUAUCUCACGUCCCUGCUGAAGAAGGGGCUGCCCCAGAGCACCCCCUGAGAGCAGAGAUUUCAGUUUUUAUUUUAUUUAAACUCUCUGUGCUUUUUUCUGCUCGGUUUUAAUAAAAGAAUUCCAGUGUUUGUUCGA